GCCCGGAUAGCUCAGUCAGUAGAGCGUUAGGCUUUUAACCUAACGGUCGAGGGUUCGAGUCCCUAUUCGGGCG